AACGAACGCUGGCGGCAUGCCUAACACAUGCAAGUCGAACGAGACCUUCGGUCUAGUGGCGCACGGGUGCGUAGCGCGUGGGAAUCUGCCCUUUGCUUCGGAAUAACAGUUAGAAAUGACUGCUAAUACCGGAUGAUGUCUUCGGACCAAAGAUUUAUCGGCAAAGGAUGAGCCCGCGUAGGAUUAGGUAGUUGGUGGGGUAAAGGCCUACCAAGCCGACGAUCCUUAGCUGGUCUGAGAGGAUGAUCAGCCACACUGGGACUGAGACACGGCCCAGACUCCUACGGGAGGCAGCAGUGGGGAAUAUUGGACAAUGGGGCGAAAGCCUGAUCCAGCAAUGCCGCGUGAGUGAUGAAGGCCUUCGGUCGG
rnacentral:rRNA from 1 species